rnacentral:rRNA from 1 species
ACGCUGGCGGCAGGCUAACACAUGCAAGUCGAGCGGUAACAGGGGGAGCUUGCUCCCUGCUGACGAGCGGCGGACGGGUGAGUAAUGCAUAGGAAUCUGCCCGGUAGUGGGGGAUAACCUGGGGAAACCCAGGCUAAUACCGCAUACGCCCUACGGGGGAAAGCAGGGGCUCUUCGGACCUUGCGCUAUCGGAUGAGCCUAUGUCGGAUUAGCUAGUUGGUAGGGUAAAGGCCUACCAAGGCGACGAUCCGUAGCUGGUCUGAGAGGAUGAUCAGCCACAUCGGGACUGAGACACGGCCCGAACUCCUACGGGAGGCAGCAGUGGGGAAUAUUGGACAAUGGGGGCAACCCUGAUCCAGCCAUGCCGCGUGUGUGAAGAAGGCCUUCGGGUUGUAAAGCACUUUCAGCGAGGAAGAAAGCCUGGUGGCCAAUACCCACCAGGAAGGACAUCACUCGCAGAAGAAGCACCGGCUAACUCCGUGCCAGCAGCCGCGGUAAUACGGAGGGUGCGAGCGUUAAUCGGAAUUACUGGGCGUAAAGCGCGCGUAGGUGGCUUGAUAAGCCGGUUGUGAAAGCCCUGGGCUCAACCUGGGAACGGCAUCCGGAACUGUCAGGCUAGAGUGCAGGAGAGGAAGGUAGAAUUCCCGGUGUAGCGGUGAAAUGCGUAGAGAUCGGGAGGAAUACCAGUGGCGAAGGCGGCCUUCUGGACUGACACUGACACUGAGGUGCGAAAGCGUGGGUAGCAAACAGGAUUAGAUACCCUGGUAGUCCACGCCGUAAACGAUGUCGACUAGCCGUUGGGUCCCUCGCGGACUUUGUGGCGCAGUUAACGCGAUAAGUCGACCGCCUGGGGAGUACGGCCGCAAGGUUAAAACUCAAAUGAAUUGACGGGGGCCCGCACAAGCGGUGGAGCAUGUGGUUUAAUUCGAUGCAACGCGAAGAACCUUACCUACCCUUGACAUCCUGCGAACCCUUCGGAGACGACAGGGGUGCCUUCGGGAACGCAGAGACAGGUGCUGCAUGGCUGUCGUCAGCUCGUGUUGUGAAAUGUUGGGUUAA